UGGCGAGCGGGUGAGUAACACGUGGGUGAUCUGCCCUGCACUUCGGGAUAAGCCUGGGAAACUGGGUCUAAUACCGGAUAGGAGCCAUUUUUAGUGUGAUGGUUGGAAAGUUUUUUCGGUGUAGGAUGAGCUCGCGGCCUAUCAGCUUGUUGGUGGGGUAAUGGCCUACCAAGGCGGCGACGGGUAGCCGGCCUGAGAGGGUGGACGGCCACAUUGGGACUGAGAUACGGCCCAG
rnacentral:rRNA from 1 species